rnacentral:rRNA from 1 species
GGAUUGGUGCCUUCGGGAACUCUGACACAGGUGCUGCAUGGCUGUCGUCAGCUCGUGUCGUGAGAGUGUUGGGUUAAGUCCCGUAACGAGCGCAACCCUUGUCCUUAGUUACCAGCACGUUAUGGUGGGCACUCUAAGGAGACUGCCGGUGACAAACCGGAGGAAGGUGGGGAUGACGUCAAGUCAUCAUGGCCCUUACGGCCUGGGCUACACACGUGCUACAAUGGUCGGUACAAAGGGUUGCCAAGCCGCGAGGUGGAGCUAAUCCCAUAAAACCGAUCGUAGUCCGGAUCGCAGUCUGCAACUCGACUGCGUGAAGUCGGAAUCGCUAGUAAUCGUGAAUCAGAAUGUCACGGUGAAUACGUUCCCGGGCCUU